rnacentral:lncRNA from 10 species
CUUGGUUAUUACUUUGUUUUCCUGGAGUACAUACUCAACUAUCUUUCUGAUAAAUGUAUUUGGGAGGCUGGGCAUGGUGGCUCACAACUAUAAUCCCAGCACUUUGGGAGCCCACGGCAGGAAGACUGCUUGAGCCCAGGAGUUUGAGACUGAGAACAGCUUGGACAAAAUAGUGGGAUCCUAUCUCUAAAAAGCAAAAAGAGUUUCAGCUACGGGCUGCUCUGGUCUUCAUACAUUAACUCCAGAUGACCAGGAGGAUGUUCUCAAGCAGAAAAAAUGAAGACCAGACUAAAACCCCACAGAGUCAAC